rnacentral:rRNA from 1 species
AUGGUUGAACUUAAUGAGGCCAGCCUCACGAACCUGAAAUUCCUUCUCCUAUGCUUCGAGGCGCUAUCGGGUCUUAAAAUUAACUUUUCAAAGAGCGAAGUAAUUGUGACUGGGGUACCUGACUCUGAAGCUCAGAGAGUGGCACAUCUUCUGAACUGCUCCCUUGGUUCUUAUCCUUUCAAAUACCUGGGCCUCCCAAUCUCCCCUCUCAAGCUAUUGGCAAAAGACUUUGCCCCGGCAGUGACUAAAGUAGGGAACAGAGUCCUGCCGUGGAGAGGCCGUUAUAAUUCCCAGGCGGGCAAGGUCGCCCUCACUAAUGUGUGCCUCUCCUCCCUUCCGAUGUUUCUAAUGGGCUUUUAUCUCCUGUCCGGAGGGACUCACGCUGGUUUCGACAAGCAUAGGGGUGCUUUUUACUGGAACUCCUCGGACAAUAAGCGCAAAUAUGGGAUGGUUAAGUGGGAUCUAAUUUGUAGGCCUAAGAACAUGGGGGGCCUAGGCAUCAUUAACACGAUGGUCAUGAACAAGUGCCUCAUGAUAAAAUGGUGGUGGAAAAUU